rnacentral:rRNA from 1 species
GAUGAACGCUGGCGGCGUGCCUAAUACAUGCAAGUCGAGCGAACAGACGAGGAGCUUGCUCCUUUGACGUUAGCGGCGGACGGGUGAGUAACACGUGGAUAACCUACCUAUAAGACUGGGAUAACUUCGGGAAACCGGAGCUAAUACCGGAUAACAUGUUGAACCGCAUGGUUCAACAGUGAAAGACGGUCUUGCUGUCACUUAAAGAUGGAUCCGCGCCGCAUUAGCUAGUUGGUAAGGUAACGGCUUACCAAGGCAACGAUGCGUAGCCGACCUGAGAGGGUGAUCGGCCACACUGGAACUGAGACACGGUCCAGACUCCUACGGGAGGCAGCAGUAGGGAAUCUUCCGCAAUGGGCGAAAGCCUGACGGAGCAACGCCGCGUGAGUGAAGAAGGUCUUCGGAUCGUAAAACUCUGUUAUUAGGGAAGAACAAAUGUGUAAGUAACUAUGCACGUCUUGACGGUACCUAAUCAGAAAGCCACGGCUAACUACGUG